CUCUACUCUCUCUGUCCCUAAACACCACAGUUUUGUAUAACAUGGACGGAAAAUCAAAGAUGUCCAAUGUUUCCGGCGCAAUCAUUUUUAUACUGGGAUUCUUUUUCCUAAGAGCUGCAGAAUGUAGAACACCAGCGAAUCGGGGCACGGUCAAGUACUCUGCCCUUAGCUGUCGAAAGCACAGUGCUCUUUUGACUGAUUUUGGAGCUGUUGGCGAUGGCAAAACGUCCAACACAAAGGCCUUCAAGGCGGCCAUUGAUCAUCUAAGCCAGUGUGCAUCUGACGGCGGAGCACAGCUUAUCGUGCCACCGGGGAAGUGGCUCACCGGGAGCUUCAACCUUACCAGCCAUUUCACCCUUUUCCUCCACAAGGAUGCUGUUAUUCUUGCAACUCAGAAAAUUCAGACCCAAGACCGAACGUGCAAGAGAUUUACUCCCUUUGGUGGAGGGUCUAGAUGCUGUCCUGGAUCUGAACUUGGGAAGCUUGAAGCGCUGCAAUUUUUCUCCAACACCUUGUACAGAAUUUCAGGUGGAGGACUGAGGAUGAUGACCAACCCAUAGCGUCUCCAUACGUAGAAUUUCAAAGAGGCCUGCCACUGCACUUGGAGCAUUGCCCUAUCAAUUGAUCAAUGCAGCUUGAAAAUGGGAUCAGAUACCAUGAGGACCAGAAGCAAUUGAGCCAAAAGAGAACAUGUUUGCAGUUUUACUAUCUUUUUUUUUUCUUCAUCUUAUUGAUGAUAAAGGCAGAUUUAUCUCAUCCAGUUUUAUGCUGUUCUAGGUUUCUAAAACAAGUUUGACUCAGCUUUAUGAGAAAGCUGCAAAUGGAUCCUGCUUUAUGGAUACCAUUUCACCCCACUACUACUACUACUAAAGCAGAUCAUCUUUGUUGGACCA